GAUUUCUGGCUUGCAACUGGUAGUCGGCCACGGUUUCGUGUGUUAGUACUAAUCCUGUUCUGGCCAUCCUUCCCAUUCGCUUCUCGCCUUUGUCUUCAUUGACAGGGGCGAGGGAUGGGAUCGUUUACUUUGAAAAAAUUAGAGUGUUUCAAGCAGGCUGUUUAUGCUAUGAAUACAUUAGCAUGGAAUAAUAAUUUAGGACUUCGGUUCUAUUUUGUUGGUUUCUAGGACUGAAGUAAUGAUUGAUAGGGAUAGUUGGGGGUGCUAGUAUUCAGCGGCCAGAGGUGAAAUUCUCGGAUUCGCUGAAGACUAACUUAUGCGAAAGCAUU
rnacentral:rRNA from 1 species